CUCUCAUGGAGAGCUGAAAUGUUCAUGAAUAUCAAGGAGAACAGGAAUAAAAUGCAUGAACUGAACUAGUAGAAGACAAAGUAAUCUUUUUAACUUUUUGGAUAAAACAUUGCUGAUUCUUUGUUUUUUUUUUCUCAGAGUCAAGAAAACUUUUAAGCUAUUUACAGCUUUUAACAAUUAAGUAUGUUCCUACAAACAAAAUUUGGAGCAUAUUUAUUUCUCUCUACUGAUUUCUCCAGAAUUUGUAAACUAUUUGAAUCAAGCUUGACUUAUGGAGACAAUAAAAGUCCCUUGGAAAAACUGGCCUCAUACCUUGGUCUACAUAGCUCCUGAUCUGCGGACAUGAGACUUCACAACCUUCCAAAAAUGAGCUUUCCUAAUAACUUGGUAUGUACCUGUCUAAGAGUAAACCAUCACAGCCAUGAGAGAGCAGACGAAACCUGGGACCAGAGACUCAUUUUCUUCUAAAAUGCUUUCUCCAAAAGAUUUUAAUAAAGAAAAGGGGAGAAAUGUGAGAGGAAAAUAUCUUGGGCCCCCCAAAUCACUAAGCUAAAGGGAAAAUUCAAGCUGGGAACUGCUUAGGGCAAACCUGCUUCCCGUUCUAUUCAAAGUCAUCCUUCUGCUUACUGAGAUAAAUGCAUAUCUGAUUGUCUCCUUUGGAAAGGCUAAUCAGAAACUCAAAAGAAUGCAACUGUUUUUCUCUGACCUACUUGUGACCUGGAAGCCCCCUCCCCUCUUUGAGUUGGCCCGCAUUUGCUUCAAGUUGUCUCACCUGUCUAGACCAAACCAAUGUUCAUUUUACAUAUGUUGAUUGACAUCUCAUGUCUUUCUAAAAUGUAUAAAACCAAGCUAUGCGUUCUGACCACCUUGGGCACAUGUUGUCCAGACCUCCUGGGACUCUGUCAUGGGUGUGUCCUCAACCUUGGCAAAAUAAACUUUCUAAAUUAACAGACCUGUCUCAAAUUUUGGGGGUUCACA
rnacentral:lncRNA from 1 species